rnacentral:lncRNA from 1 species
UGUAUGUCUGCAUUACCGCCAUUGAAGGACCUAAAGAGUUGCAGAAAAUUCCGGAGAUGCAUCUCCGAAAUUUUUCAAUGUUUAGUUUCCCAAUAACCGAAGAUGCAUCUCCGGGAAUUCUUAGUCUGUUUUUUUAUUUUUUAUUUUCUUGCUUGUAGUGUUGAUUGUACUAAUUAUUUGAUUUACUUACAGGCAUUAUGGCUGAUAGAUACGAUAGAUUGGGGCACGAGAGGAUUGCACAUCAUGCAUCAGUGCGGCAGGAGAAAAGUCAGGUUUUGGAG